rnacentral:rRNA from 1 species
CCUACGGGUGGCUGCAGUGAGGAAUAUUGGUCAAUGGACGAGAGUCUGAACCAGCCAAGCCGCGUGAAGGAUGACUGCCCUAUGGGUUGUAAACUUCUUUUGUACGAGAAUAAAAUCAUCUACGCGUGGGUUUCUGUAUGUAUCAUACGAAUAAGGAUCGGCUAACUCCGUGCCAGCAGCCGCGGUAAUACGGAGGAUACGAGCGUUAUCCGGAUUUAUUGGGUUUAAAGGGUGCGUAGGCGGUUUGUUAAGUCAGUUGUGAAAGUUCGGGGCUCAACCGUAGAAUUGCAUUUGAAACUGGCAGUCUUGAGUGCAGUAGAGGUAGGCGGAAUGCGUGGUGUAGCGGUGAAAUGCUUAGAUAUCACGAAGAACUCCGAUUGCGAAGGCAGCUCACUGGACUACAACUGACGCUGAGGCACGAAAGUGUGGGUAUCAAACAGGAUUAGAUACCCCAGUAGUC